rnacentral:lncRNA from 1 species
UUCCAAAGUAGAGUAAAAUUUCAGACUCUUCUCAGUUCUUGACGGUGUUUGGUGAUGAAGAUUGGGAUGCUAAUAGAAAUAAUGGCUUUCUGGAAGAGAGAAGACAAGGGCUCCCAUGGGCUGGGUGAAAGGAUAUGAGAACUCCCUGGGAUCUGGUAGCAAAUGUUCUUGCUCAAGUGGUGGGCAAGGGGGAAGGAAAAUUUGGCAAAUCUAAUGUAUUUGCCUUAUAAUCUCCUUUUUUUUUUUUUUUUUUUUUUGAGACAGGGUUUCCCUCUCAUGCCUCAGGAUGGAAUGCAAUGGCGUGAUCUUGGCUCACUGCAACCUCAGCCUCCCAGGUUCAAGCGAUUCUCCAGCCUCAGCCUCCCGAGUAGCUGGGAUUACAGGCAUGCGCCAUCAUGCCUGAAUAAUUUUUGUAUUUUUAGUAGUGACAGAGUUUCACCAUGUUGGCCAGGCAGGUCUUGAACUCCUGACCUCAAGUGAUCCUCCCACCCUGGCCUCCCAAACUGCUAGGAUUACAGGCAUGAGCCACCACUUCCAGCCUAAGCUCCACCUCUUAAUGGGUUCUGUUUCUUUCUAAAGAGCAAAAAAUACACGAAUACUCAAUAUUAUCAUCAUUUCUUUUUUUCUACAAUUUCUUUUAAAUAAAACCCAUUCUUCAAAAUUAUUGCUACAAAAUAACCAGAGAAACUUCAGCAACGUCAGCUCCACAUAUCUCCAUAAUGUCCCCCGUUCCUUGUCCUCUUCAAUAGACUAAUAUUACUUUGAACAGGAAAAAAAAACAACAUAUGACAAAACCAAAACCUCUUCCUUUCUUCAAACAACUCAAUGUUCAUCAUUCUUCUACUAUGAAUGUUCAUACAUCUUCUACUAUGAAAUAGUACCCUGGGCUCAUGAGAGACUCCACUAUGGUCAAGGAAUGGAAUCCAGAUUAUCUGACUGAAUCUUCCACCCAUAUAGAUGUCACUAAAUAUGUGUGUGAACUCAAAGCAAAUAACAGAGAAACACAAUAUAAAAAUGGCUUUAAUAUACCAACGUACAGAUUAUUCAGUUCCAUUGUAAUUUCCCAAAUAAUUUUAGAUUAUAAUUUUCAGAAAGGAUUUUUAACAUCUGCUAGGCUAAUUCCAUCAUAUUAGUAUAUGAAAUUAUCUUUUCUCCAGUUAUUUAUAAUCUUUCUAAAUAUUUUAAAAUACAGUAUAUUUUCACAACAAAUUUUAUUUUCCCCACAACAAAGAAUUAUCCCACUUCUCUAGUAAUUUCCAUCGUGCAAGAAUGUAGAAUAUAGACUAAUAAGCCUAAAUAGGAUCUAAAAAGGCAAGUUACCUAAAACCCUUCUUGUCUAACCAUAUUAAGGCCCAAGUUUACCUAGAGUCACAAUUGUAGUUAACAAGUGCUAUUUCUCUGGUUGUUUUUUGUUGUUGUUGUUGUUGUUUUUGUUUUUUUUUUUUGAGAUGGAGUCUCACUCUGUCACCCAGGCAGGAGUGCAGUGGCGCGAUCUCAGCUCACUGCAAGCUCCGCCUCCUGGGUUCAUGCCAUUCUCUUGCCUCAGCCUCCCGAGUAGCUGGGAGUACAGGCACCCGCCACCACGCCUGGCUAAUUUUUUGUAUUUUUAGUAGAGACAGGGUUUCACCAUGUUAGCCAGGAUGGUCUCGAUCUCCUGACCUCGUGAUCCGCCAGCCGUGGCCUCCCAAAGUGCUGGGACUACACGUGUGAGCCACCAUGCCCGGCCUUGUUUUUGUUUUUGCCAAGUUUCACCAUGUUGCCCAGGAUAUCCUCAAACUCCUGGGCUCAAGUGAUUCUCCAGCCUCAGCCUCCUGAGUAGCUGGGAAUAGAAGAGCAUGCCACUGUGUCUGGCUUCUCUGUGACUUUCUUAAUGUGCAGAAACCAAAACAGGUAAUAGUAUUUAAUAAGAAUGUCCUGGUAAUUUUUUUUAAAUCUAAAAGUAGACAAAAAGGGAAGGGAAAAAUUCAUAUGCAGAUGAAAAAUAUUCUAUUACUGUGGAUCCUUGAUUUUUUGUAUAGAUCUUAACAAUGAUUUAUGAGGUUCUCAAUGACAAUUUAAUAAAACUGCAAAAUUCAUUAAGAGCAUCACAGAAGGCCAGGCACAGUGGCUCACAUCAGAGAAAUAAGAUUAUGAAUUUACUGAGGCAUACAAAUUGGAAUCUACAUUUACCAUCUUGUACAAAUAGGAAAGUUUCUAAUAACUUAUUAACAAAAUCAUUCUGAAACCUUUACACAAAUCAGCCUGCUUUAAAUAAAAAGGUUAGAAACAUUAUGAUAACUAUGUACAAAGUAUAUAUCUGUAUACUCUAACAUUCUAAAUAAAGGUAUCUUUGAAAAUUUACUAUUAUACAGUAUUAGUACCAUACUCUAUAAUGAGCAAAGAAAGAAUAUGAGAACUCUUGGGCUCAGUACAGUGUAAAUAUGUUCAAAAUGCUAUACACAUUUUGCCUGGAAAGAUUUAAAAAAUCCCACAUAAUCACAUAAACCACUGGACUGACUUUUAAAAACUUUAAAAAAGAUAUUUAAAGAUAUGGCUCAUUAAGCAAACAUUUAGUGAUCAUAUCUCACUGCAGCCUCGAACUCCUGGGCUCAAGUGAUCCUCCUGCCUCAAUUGGCAAAUGGGCAAAAGAUAUGAACAGAUAUUUCACUGAAAAGGAUAAACAGAAUGGUUGAAAUAAGAAAUAGUGACAACACCAAAUGCUGGCGAGCAUGCAGAGAAACUGGAUCACUCAUACAUUCCUGGUGGGAAUGUAAGAUGGUAUAGCCAGUCUGGAAAACAGUUUGGCUGUUUCUUAUAAAGAUAAGAUUCAUUUAAAUGGGAGUCUCUAUAUCAUUUGUUUCCUAAACAUCACGGGUAUCUAUCUAAACACAGCCAUUUUAUAACAGAUCAAAUUUAUAGUAAAGUGGGGAAAGACAGUAGAAAUAGAAUAACAGAGAAUUUCAGAAAUAUCUGAUUUUGCAAGCACCUGUUUCUGUCCUUCCCACUCCAAGAUCAUUCCUGCAUUCCUCUAGGAACAAGGGUCCCAUGGGAAUAUGAUACAGCCAAUGACUUAGGUGCCAAUAGAUGCUGGUGCCAAAAUAUUUAUGGCUAUGAGGCUUCAAAACUUAAAAAAAAAAAAAAGAUUCCUUUUACUUGGAAAGGGGAUUUAAAAAGAAAAAACCACCAACACGAUUUUGAAUCAUCUAUUUAACUUUUUUAGAUUACCCAUUUUGACUGGUUCGAACCAGAAGACCUGGCUUUGGGUUUACAAUAAGACGAUUCUGGGACCAAGUAGGUUGUAAAGGCCCAAGGUAUGUUUGGGGCUUUCUCUCUCUCUCUCUCUCUCUCUCUUUUUUUUUUUUGAGACAGAGUCUCGCUCUCUCACCCAGGCUGGAAUGCAGUGGCCCAAUCUCGGCUCACUGCAACCUCCACGUCCCGGGUUCAAGCAAUUCUCCUGUCUCAGCCUCCCAAGUCGCUGGGACCACAGGCACAUGCCAUCAGGACUGGCUAAUUUUUGUAUUUUUAGUAGAGAUGGGGUUUCACCAUAUUGAUCAGGCUGGUCUUGAACUCCUGACCUCAGGUGAUCCACCCGCCUUGGCCUCCCAAAGUGCUGGGAUUACAGGCGUGAGCCACUACACCUGGCCUUUUUCUCUCUUUUUUUAAAUUGAGAUGGGUGGGGUCUCACUAUGUUGCCUAGGCUGGUCUCGAACUCCUGAGCUCAAGCGAUCCUCCCGCCUUGGCCUCACAAAUUGCUGGGAUUACAGGUGUGAACCACCACGCUUAUCCUGGGGCUUUUAAUUCUUACUGAAAAUCAUAGUCUAAAUUUCCCAAAGGGAUUCAGAAUCCUUUGGGGUACAUUCAAGUCUUCUAGGCCAUCUCUGGGAUGACUCUAGAAUAACUUAAAGUCAAAGAACUCCAGGGUAUAUCUACAUCUCUCCUCAAAUAAUUACAAAAUUCUUGCAAGAUUCCUGGGCUGGACUGUUUUAAAUUAAAGACUGGUCCCUUACAGGAGGGGCUAUUUAUGAAGUUCCUUCCCUAUAGCACCAGAGUGUUUCGCACUCUUAAAAUUCAAUCUGUUAGUCAUCUGCAGUCAAAUAUAUAAAACCUGUGAAGAGAAAGGCUUCAAUUAAAGCUUAAAAAGUUAAUAUAUCUAUGUGUAUUUACAGACAUGUGUCUCUACACAAAUAGUUUUUCAAAUAUAUAAACAUAUUAAGAAUUUUAUUUUAUUUUAUUAAGACAGGGCCUUGCCCUGUUGCCCAGGCUGGAGUGCAGUGGCACAAUCAUAGCUCAUAGCACCCUCAAACUCCUGUGUUCAAGCGAUUCUCCUGCUUCGGUUUCCUGAGUAGCUGGGACUACAGGGGCAUACCACCACACCUGGCUAAUUUAAAAAAAAUUUUUUUGUAGAGACAAGGUCUCACUUUGCUGCCCAAGCUGUAACUGAACUCCUGGCUUCAAGUGAUCCUCUGGCCUCAGCCUCCCAAAGUGCUGGGAUUACAGGCAUGAGCCACUGUACUUGGCCAAAAAUUUUAAAUAAACAACAUGAGGAUUCUAGCUCUCACUACAGAGUAGUUCUUCUUUUGUUUUUUUGUUUUUGUUUUUGUUUUUGUUUUUUUGAAAUGGAGUUUAACUCUUGUUGCCCAGGCUGGAGUGCAAUGGCGCGAUCUCGGCUCAACCGCAACCUCUGCCUCAGGGGUUCAAGCGGUUCUCCUGCCUCAGCCUCCUGACUAGCUGGGAUUACAGGCAUGUGCCACAACGCACAGCUAAUUUUUUUGUAGUUUUAAUAGAGAUGGGGUUUCUCCAUGUUGGUCAGGCUGGUCUCAAGCUACUAACCUCAGGUAAUCCGUCCUCCUUGGCCUCCCAAAGUGCUGGGAAGAGUAUAGUUCUUCUUAAUCCAACAAAAAAGUAUUUUACUCACAACAAAUAUAAAUUGCCCCCAUCAACAAAUGUAUGUAAUAUCAAGGAUAACGUGUACAAACAAAGUUGCACUAACAAAGUAAAAAUUUAUCCCACAUACAUGAAAGCACAGUGCUAAGUUCUGGGGAAGCAGACAGUUUCUGCUUUCAGGGAGCUUCCAGUCUGGUAGAGAUUUACACAGAAGGCAGAUUAAAGAGAAUGAUGAUCUCCUUUGUUCAGAGAUAAAAAGGAAGCAAAAAAGCAGGUCAAAUCAAAGAUGAUCUGCAGAAUACAUUAACCCUACACUGAAAUCAUGGACCUACUCCAGUAAUUAAGGCUGCAGAGGUGGGGCUGGGUGGAUGAAAACAUCAGAAGACAAUUACAGCAUGAGAUAUUGAUUGAUUGAUUGAUUGAUUGAUUGAGACAGGGUCUCACUUUGCCACCCAGGCUAGAGUACAGUGACACCAACUUGGCUCACUGCAGCCUCCACCUCCUGGAGCUCAAGUGAUCUUCCCACCUCAGCCCCCUAAUUAGCUGGGACUAUAUGUGUGUGUCACCACACCCAGCUAAUUUGUGUAUUUUUUGUAGAGAUAGGGAUUCGCCAGGUUGCCCAGGCUGGUCUCAAACUCCUGAGCUGAAGUGAUCCGCCUGCCUUGGCCUCCCAAAGUGCUAGGAUUACAGGUGUGAGCCACUGUGCCCAGCUGAGAUUUAUUUUUUCUUUAUUAAUCAGCAAAAUAGAUACCCUAUUUAUUUCAAGAUACGAUUAACUAAUUUUUUUGCUAACAACCAUUUCCUAAGGUAAAAUGAGGCAGAAAGAAAAGGAGUAUGACACUAUAUUCACUGAGUCUUCGAUUUUCUUCUAACAGCCUGUAUCAGUGGCUCUCAACUGGGGGCAAUUUUGCCUCUCAGAAUGGCAAUGUUUGAAGACAUUUUUGGCCAUAACAACUAGGGGGAUGGUACUUGUAGCUAGAGGGCAGAGGUCAGGGAUAUUGCUAAACAUCCUAUAAAGUACAGCAUAGCAUCCCAAAAUAAAGAUUUAUCCAGUCCAAAAUGUCAAUGCUGAGAUUAGGAAACCAUGCCAUGGUUGGAUAAAAAAGAUGAAAAAAUCAGUAUGUCUAUAGUAUAAAAGCAAUUAGUAGCACUUUAAGAUAGAUUGAACAGGAACAUUCUGACAAAAAGAAUUAUUUCCUAUGAAAU